rnacentral:rRNA from 1 species
GACGAACGCUGGCGGCGUGCUUAACACAUGCAAGUCGAACGGAAAGGCCCUGCUUUUGUGGGGUGCUCGAGUGGCGAACGGGUGAGUAACACGUGAGUAACCUGCCCUUGACUUUGGGAUAACUUCAGGAAACUGGGGCUAAUACCGGAUAGGAGCUCCUGCUGCAUGGUGGGGGUUGGAAAGUUUCGGCGGUUGGGGAUGGACUCGCGGCUUAUCAGCUUGUUGGUGGGGUAGUGGCUUACCAAGGCUUUGACGGGUAGCCGGCAUGAGAGGGUGACCGGCCACAUUGGGACUGAGAUACGGCCCAGAAUCCUACGGGCGGCAGCAGUGGGGAAUAUUGCACAAUGGGCGGACGCCUGAUGCAGCAACGCCGCGUGCGGGAUGACGGCCUUCGGGUUGUAAACCGCUUUCGCCUGUGACGAAGCGUGAGUGACGGUAAUGGGUAAAGAAGCACCGGCUAACUACGUG